CAGCCGCCGCGGUAAUACGAAGGGUGCAAGCGUUAAUCGGAACUACUGGGCGUAAAGCGUGCGUAGGCGGUGAGUUAAGUCUGCUGUGAAAUCCCCGGGCUCAACCUGGGAAUGGCAGUGGAUACUGGCUCGCUAGAGUGUGUCAGAGGAUGGUGGAAUUCCCGGUGUAGCGGUGAAAUGCGUAGAGAUCGGGAGGAACAUCAGUGGCGAAGGCGGCCAUCUGGAACAACACUGACGCUGAGGCACGAAAGCGUGGGGAGCAAACAGGAUUAGAUACCCCGGUAGUCCCUGUCUCUUAUAC
rnacentral:rRNA from 1 species